rnacentral:rRNA from 1 species
GUGGGGAAUUUUGGACAAUGGGCGCAAGCCUGAUCCAGCAAUGCCGCGUGCAGGAAGAAGGCCUUCGGGUUGUAAACUGCUUUUGUACGGAACGAAACGGUCCUGGUUAAUACCUGGGGCUAAUGACGGUACCGUAAGAAUAAGCACCGGCUAACUACGUGCCAGCAGCCGCGGUAAUACGUAGGGUGCGAGCGUUCAUCGGAAUUACUGGGCGUAAAGCGUGCGCAGGCGGUGCUGUAAGACAGGCGUGAAAUCCCCGGGCUCAACCUGGGAAUUGCGCUUGUGACUGCAGUGCUGGAGUACGGCAGAGGGGGAUGGAAUUCCGCGUGUAGCAGUGAAAUGCGUAGAUAUGCGGAGGAACACCGAUGGCGAAGGCAGUCCCCUGGGCCUGUACUGACGCUCAUGCACGAAAGCGUGGGGAGCAAACAGGAUUAGAAACCCUGGUAGUCC